GAGGGCUUCCAGCUGGAGGAGGGAGCCUGGCCAUAGAUAGAGGAGCUUAAAAUCCAAACGGAGUCUCAGGAAGAUCAUGAACCCACUCCUAUGUCUUGCAAUGCCCUCCUGGGACUCUGCAUGUCACACCUACCAUGUGACUUGUUCUAGUCACUGAAAUGAGCUGAGCAGCUUUCCUCUGUCAUGGCCUUUUACCAUGGAGUCCUGCCUCAAUUCAG